rnacentral:ncRNA from 1 species
GGCAGCACGAACGGGAGCCGCAAGGCUGAGAGGAAGCGCCAGCUUCGACCGGGGAACUUGACGCGGGUCAUGCCGCCGUAAGGAAUCGUCUUCUUUCGCCAA